CCUACGGGGCGCAGCAGUGAGGAAUAUUGGUCAAUGGGCGGGAGCCUGAACCAGCCAUGCCGCGUGAAGGCGAGUGCCCUACGGGCGUUAAACUUCUUUUGUGCGGGAGCAAUAAGGGCCACGUGUGGCCCGAUGAGAGUACCGCACGAAUAAGCAUCGGCUAACUCCGUGCCAGCAGCCGCGGUAAUACGGGGGAUGCGAGCGUUAUCCGGAUUUAUUGGGUUUAAAGGGUGCGUAGGCGGCGCUUCAGGUCAGCGGUGAAAUACCGGGGCUCAACCCCGGGGCUGCCGUUGAAACCGGAGCGC
rnacentral:rRNA from 1 species